AUUGAACGCUGGCGGCAGGCCUAACACAUGCAAGUCGAACGCGUGGCGGACGGGUGUGUAAUGUCUGGGUAACUGCCUGAUGGAGGGGGAUAACUACUGGAAACGGUAGCUAAUACCGCAUACCCUCAGAUGUGCCCAGAUGGGAUUAGCUAGUUGGUGGGGUAACGGCUCACCAAGGCGACGAUCCCUAGCUGGUCGGAGAGGAUGACCAGCCACACGAGAACUGAGACACGGUCCAGACUCCUACGGGAGGCAGCAGUGGGGAAAAGUGCACAGUGGGCGCAAGGCUGAUGCAACCAUGCCGCGUGGAGGAAGAAAGCCAGCGGGUUGUAGAGUACUUUCAGCGGGGAAGCGUUACCCGAAGAAGAAGCACCGGCUAACUCCGUGCCAGCAGCCGCGGUAAUAC
rnacentral:rRNA from 1 species